ACGAUCCUGCGUCCGCAUAGCCUUCCCUUCUAUCUUUGCUCCCAUCGCGUUGCUGCCCCCGUGGGCACCCUUGCCUGCCACAUCUUCACGCACACGCGCUCCUGACGCCUCUUCCUAUUCGACCGUUUGAGCGCUGGCCCACAUUUUUCCUUUUCUCUCUCUUCUUGCUAGUGCGUGUGUGCUCGGCGUUGGUUUCUCGCUCUCCAUCUUUGCACCGCGUGUAGGACGCGCGAGCACGUCUGCUCAGUGGCUGGCCAGUCGACGCUCGGAGUCGCGUGUGUGUGAGUGGGGUCUACGGACGCCAGCGAAGGAUACACGCGCGCGCAGCCGUUGCGCCCCUAAAGCUGCUGUGUGCACGUGCUGCCCGCCGCAGCGGGCAUGGUGUAUCACAUCCAGGCACGGCAUCCAGGGGCGAGAAUAGCGUGGGCGAUAGGCGAAAAAGGCGCGCAGGGGAUGCACACGGAUCAGCGCCGCAGUGCAUGUGUGCGACGCAUGCGCCAUCUCGUACGCCCGACCGGGUGGGCUGGUGCGGCGGUGGCGGCGGAAGCAUGGCGAGGGCGCCCCGAGCCACGCCAUGGAGUCAUCGGGAGUCCACUGUGGAGGGUCUCCACCCGGCCUUGUGCCGGGGCUUGAAGCGAGUCAGGGAGAAGCACGGCAGACAUGCUGGCAGAGUGCAGGGUCUCCGAGGGCCCUGGCCUGCGGCCGGCCGACUUCCUCCCUGAGCUCAUCCGGCAUGACCCUAGACCACCCCCUGUUACCCGCACGCCGCACACCACCGGCUCCGCCCUCGAGCAGGACGCUGGGUGCGGCUCGCCUUGAUCAUGGCUGUGCCGUCCAGGCAGGUGGGCCUGGAGCCGCUCGCGCCGCGCGCACGGGGAGUAUGGAGCGGAGGAAGGACACGAGGCGCCCGCUAGACGCACGCCCGGAUGCGACGGCAGAGGCCCCGCCCUAGACGGCGAGGAUUUCGCUGUGGUGCAGCAGAGGCCGGCGAGCUGUGCCUGCAUGCGCGUAUUCGUUGGCUUGUUCCGGGUGUAGAAUGGACACGCUCAGAAAGCAAAAACCUCCUGUGUAUACUUGACCAGUUUUUCUCCUUUCCGCUGGUGUUGUCGCCGAACCUCAUUGGAUGAGAAAGCUCCGUGAUGCGCGGUGGGCGAUACCUUUGUUGUCUGCCCACGUGCUUGAGGAAGUCGCUGUAAAGGGCUUCGCGGUUGCGUCUGAGACUGCGUGUAGGUGCGGGAAGGAGGUGGAUCGUGCGGAUCUGUGUAAAGAGACGGCCGUACUCGUUUAUGUUCUUUAGUCCUGCUCCUCGCUAUUCUCUGCUCCCUCUGUACUGUUUUCCUUUUCUUUAUUCUUUUUGACGUGAUGCAUGGGCGGUUUUUGGCAGGACUUUCGAGAUGGCUCACGAGAAACGGUUGUGACUUCGCUUCUCUGUAGUGGCUUCGGAAGCCGCGAACAGAAAAAUACGAACGUGAAAAUGCCUAGCGAAACGGCAACAUUAAAUGCAGCAGCGACGCGGAGUGAGAGAGGCGAAUGGGAAUGCCAGCGCAUCACGCCACAUUCGUACAUGAUGCACCUCUUCGGUGAGCGGAUGUGCACAUGUGGCUUUUCCGACUAUUGGACGAGGCCUCUGAGGUAUGGGAAGUGAAAGAGACCGCUUUCUUCCCAAUUAGCGGGGCUUCGCCGCACUCAGUUUCAUCCCCGAGCGUCUUGUGAGCUGAUUCGCUGCCACGCAAAAUGUGAUCGGUGGCGAAAAGCACGGUGCCCGUGGUCCUCUCGCGUGUCCCUCCUGCUCCCUCUGUCAUUUCGCUUGUGAAGCCUCCGCUUCUCCUUUCUCACUUCUCCGACUCUCUCUUCCUCGCCCAUUCCUCGCGCUCCUCUCAUCCUUUCCUCUGGGGCCCGUGUGUGCUUUCAUCUACAACGACAACAAACAACGUUGUGUCGGAAAACAACAAUAAUGGGAUGCUUU
rnacentral:misc_RNA from 1 species